UACGAAGGGGGCUAGCGUUGUUCGGAAUUACUGGGCGUAAAGCGCGUGUAGGCGGGCCGUUAAGAUGGGGGUGAAAGCCCGGAGCUCAACUCCGGAACUGCCUUCAUGACUGGCGGCCUGGACUCAAGGAGAGGCAAGUGGAAUUGCGAGUGUAGAGGUGAAAUUCGUAGAUACUCGCAGGAACACCAGUGGCGAAUGCGACUUGCUGGACUUGUAGUGACGCUGAGACGCGAAAGCGUGGGGAGCAAACAGG
rnacentral:rRNA from 1 species